AAACCAUGGUGAGGACAUUAUAAUGUAUCCUUUAUAACGAUUCCAAGCUUCAUGAAAGAUUUAGCCUUCUCUUUGUUGGAACCCAUAAAUCUUGUCUCUAAAGAAU
rfam:Eutrema salsugineum unplaced genomic scaffold scaffold_6, whole genome shotgun sequence.